GAAAUAAGAAACCCAAAAAUAAGCUUCUAACUUAAUUUUUUUAGCGAUGAAACUUCGUUAUUAUUUCU
rnacentral:tRNA from 1 species